rnacentral:rRNA from 1 species
AAUCAACGCUGGCGGCGCGCUUAACACAUGCAAGUCGAACGGGAAAGUGGAGCAAUCCAUGAGUACAGUGGCGUACGGGUGAGUAACACGUGGGUGAUCUACCUCUUAGUGGGGAAUAACCCUGGGAAACCGGAGCUAAUACCGCAUAAGCCCGAGAGGGGAAAGUGGCUUUGUGAAAACAGAGCCGCGCUGAGAGAGGAGCCCGCGGCCGAUUAGCUAGUUGGUAGGGUAAAAGCCACCAAGGCAGAGAUCGGUAGCCGGCCUGAGAGGGCACACGGCCACACUGGCACUGAAACACGGGCCAGACUCCUACGGGAGGCAGCAGUGGGGAAUCUUGCACAAUGGGGGAAACCCGUNAUGCAGCGACGCCGCGUGAGCGAU